UGAGACACGGACCAAACUCCUACGGGAGGCAGCAGUGAGGAAUAUUGGUCAAUGGCCGAGAGGCUGAACCAGCCAAGUCGCGUGAAGGAAGAAGGAUCUAUGGUUUGUAAACUUCUUUUAUAGGGGAAUAAAGUGGAGGACGUGUCCUUUUUUGUAUGUACCCUAUGAAUAAGCAUCGGCUAACUCCGUGCCAGCAGCCGCGGUAAUACGGAGGAUGCGAGCGUUAUCCGGAUUUAUUGGGUUUAAAGGGUGCGUAGGUGGUGAUUUAAGUCAGCGGUGAAAGUUUGUGGCUCAACCAUAAAAUUGCCGUUGAAACUGGGUUACUUGAGUGUGUUUGAGGUAGGCGGAAUGCGUGGUGUAGCGGUGAAAUGCAUAGAUAUCACGCAGAACUCCGAUUGCGAAGGCAGCUUACUAAACCAUAACUGACACUGAAGCACGAAAGCGUGGGGAUCAAACAGGAUUAGAUACCCUGGUAGUCCACGCAGUAAACGAUGAUUACUAGGAGUUUGCGAUACAAUGUAAGCUCUACAGCGAAAGCGUUAAGUAAUCCACCUGGGGAGUACGCCGGCAACGGUGAAACUCAAAGGAAUUGACGGGGGCCCGCACAAGCGGAGGAACAUGUGGUUUAAUUCGAUGAUACGCGAGGAACCUUACCCGGGCUUAAAUUGCAACUGACGGAUUUGGAAACAGAUCUUCCUUCGGGCAGUUGUGAAGGUGCUGCAUGGUUGUCGUCAGCUCGUGCCGUGAGGUGUCGGCUUAAGUGCCAUAACGAGCGCAACCCUUAUCACUAGUUACUAACAGGUGAAGCUGAGGACUCUGGUGAGACUGCCAGCGUAAGCUGUGAGGAAGGUGGGGAUGACGUCAAAUCAGCACGGCCCUUACAUCCGGGGCGACACACGUGUUACAAUGGCAUGGACAAAGGGCAGCUACCUGGUGACAGGAUGCUAAUCUCCAAACCAUGUCUCAGUUCGGAUCGGAGUCUGCAACUCGACUCCGUGAAGCUGGAUUCGCUAGUAAUCGCGCAUCAGCCAUGGCGCGGUGAAUACGUUCCCGGGCC
rnacentral:rRNA from 1 species